GGCGCUAUGGUGUAGAGGUAUGCACACGGGACUGCGGUUGCUUUGCGAUCACCGCCCGCAGCCCGGGUUCGAAUCCUGGUGGCGCCU
rfam:Coniophora puteana RWD-64-598 SS2 unplaced genomic scaffold CONPTscaffold_18, whole genome shotgun sequence.